AUGAAAGAUAUAAGAAGAUGGAGGACCCAAUGUGCAAAAUCUCUAAAAAGUCACCAUUGUUAGUCCUCGUUGGAUCUCUGCUCCUUGAUCGGCGACGGCCCGGCUUGACGUGACGACGAUAAAUGGAUCCCAGGGACGCGACGGAGGAUCUGAGAACGACGGAGGAGGACGAGCUACGGUGGCUAGGAGAAACGAAGCUUGGCCGACGACGGUUGGAGCUCUGACGCGGAGGUGAGACUGCGAGCUCAGCCACGACGACGGCAAAGGCUGAGCUUAGCUGCGGCGGAGGAGCACAGCACGGGGACGAAGAUGAAGCAGAGAGCACGACAGAGGAGCCACGGUUGUCGACGGCCACGAAUAAGAAGAUGGAACCGGAGCUCAAAUCCGUGUUGGUUGGGAGCGGGCAACACACAGCGAGCUGGUGAUGUCGACGUGAGCUGGAGCGGCUUGAUGGCAGCGACACUGGACAUCGCACGGCAAAUCCAUGAGCGUGGCAAACAGGUAAGUGCUCUAACCCUAAUCCCGGUUCAACUCAAAUUGAACCGAUCCUAACCGACCUAAACCAGCCCACACGCCCCCUAGACCUACCCAACAACCCACGACAUCUUCUCCCUCAAUCUCAUCCCCACCACAACUCACAAACUCUCUCAAACUCUCACCACUCCAAACCCCAUAUCUCACUCAAUUCUUCACCAAUUCACCUCAUUCUUUCACUCAAAUCCAAACUUUCGCUCCGUCUACCUAUCCACACCUAUUCACCAUUACCAUCCAUCCAAAGCAAGGUACCAAUGGGUAAAGAAAACAAGGGCACAGUUGAUAGCUGAGAAGGAGGCAAGAGAUGCGGAAGAUUGGGCACAAAGAGGAAAGUCUUUAGAAGCUGAAACCGCUGAAACAGGGACUGAGAGGACUACUAGGCAACGAACUCAGGCUGCAAGGAAAUCCAUUGAGCAAGUGAAGAGAACAAAAAUGACUUCAGCUGCAAGGAAGUCCACUGAGCAAGUGAAGAGAACAGAAACGACUUCAGCUGCAAGGAAGUCGACUGAACAAGGAAAGAGAGCAGGAAAGAGUAUUGCAACUCCCACUGAUGAGGAGAGUGAGGAAGGUGAAGAGGAGUUAGAAGAAGAGCCUGCACCUGCGAAGAAGGCAAAGAUGACAAAAGGGAAAGGUGUUGCUGUUGAGAGGGACAGGGGGAAGACCCCAACUCCGGAAGAGCUGUAUGAUCACCUGAUGAAUGGGAUGGGCUGGCAGGCAACGAGGUUUGCCGACCUUGAGCUACUGAAGGCACUAGAGAUCGAUUCUGAUAUGGCGGAACUGUUGGGGCAUUUGAAAAUGCCAAAGCUUCUCACCAUGGCUUCUCCCACCUACAAGGAGCUCACUUCCCAGUUCUUGUCAACUUUGGAAGUCACCUACCACGACUCUAGACAUGUACGGCAAGGAUGGGGGAAAAUCAAGUUCAAGAUCGAUGGAAGGGUCUACUACAUGAACUUCAGAGACAUUGGGAUAGUCAUGGGUUUCCAAGAUGCAGAGGAGACUACUCUUCCAAGGUGCGACGGCCUCCCGAAGAAGCUUUGGGAAUUGAUUACUGGCAUCAACCACAGGACCGGCGCUGAUAAGAACUCUCGCAUCCGACACCCUACAGUGCGCUACCUCCACAGACUACUUGUUCACCUCUUCUACCCACGGAAACAGCACGGUAACGUCACAGAGGAAGAUCUCCGCCUUAUCUGCCCUGCUAUCAGUCCUUACACUACCCCGGGACAGCUACCACUUCCCAGCACAGACAUCUACGCAAAAUUUGGGAUGGUAGGUUUCUUUGUGAGUCGUCUUGAGCACUACAGAGACUGGGCUUGGACCACAGGGGAUAAAGAACCAAAGAUAGGGAUUGGAGGGAUGAUCACACCUCUCCUACAGGCUCAACACAUCAACUUAGGGAAGGGUGGAGUUGGUCUAAACUCAUUGAUGGAGCCUACUUGAAGAUAGCCACCUACUUCAGUGGGAUGUACCAGGGCAGCUACGUCUACCACUAUCGCUUGGAAGGAAGGAAAGCUGAGGUACUCCUCCCGAACAUGGACCUGACGAGCUUGAUCAUCCCUGGGGUCAUCAGCUUUGACCUUUCCCCGACAGACUUCCUUGGGGAACACGGGACUCUCGAUCCCGUUGUUGAACUAGGUCGACCUUGGGAACCUAGGGAGUCGAGAGAGACUGAGCCAGAGAGACCUGCUGAGGCGGCUUCUCCACCCGUCUAUGGUCAACCGCGCUACUCCUUCCCACCCUACAACGGGGUUCUUCCACAUGGUGCUCUUCCCGAUGCUCAUGACCACAUAGGUCGGCUGCAGCGAUGGAACAAGGCUCAGGACAGGACGAUUGAGAAGUUAAAAACCAAGUGCAAGGCGCUUAGCAAGACGGUGAAGCAGCAGGCCAAGUUCACAUCCAAGAUCUUGAGGAAGAUGGCUGAUGUGCUGACGAGGGGAGGCAUAGCGGGAUGCAGUAGAGCAGACUUUGAAUUCCCGGACGCUCCACCACCCCGGCAUCCACCUCAGCCUGGUACCCUUACCUUCCCCCUCACAGAGAGACAGCAGCGGCGCCUGGACAGGAACCCUCCCAUCAAUCCGUCAUCCUCAGGAAACAAAUCUCCAUCCUUGGCAUCUUCAGAUGACGACAUCGAGGUUGAGGAGGUUCAGAGUCAGCGCUGGUACGGAGACUACAGUUCAGCUGGAGGCUACUACACCUACUUCCCACCAGAUGAUGGCGCUGGCCCAUCUGACUCCACUCACCACCCAUAGAAGCUUCAGACGACAAAACUACGCAAGACUCCAUCAACAGGAAAUCCACAUCCGACAAAGAUGAGACCCACAACAAGACUUACUUGCAAAAGCAAUCUACAAAAGGCAUAAAAGAAAAUAUCUCCAUCAAUCGCCUGUUCAAGACUCGGCACCACAAAAAUGAGACAUGUUUCAAGUAUUAUCAUCUCAGUGUUGGCACCACAGAAAUGCAACACGUUUCAAGCACUAUGCAAAGCACUAUGCAAGCAGACUUCCGCUAUAAAUACGAGGCCAUAUGCAAUGUCGAGGGACACGAGCGAUUUCCUUAUUUCUCUAAAAGCUCUCCCCUCUCUCUAAAAUCUUUAAAAAUUUCUCUAUAGUUUUAAUUUUUCGAUUUUCCGCAAUCUUGUAAACAAAACCUUGUAUCUCAAUUCAAGAUCAAUAAAAAGUAAGUUUAAGCA